rnacentral:lncRNA from 1 species
GGGGACACUAGGGUCACAUUGGGGACAUUGGGGUCACAUUGGGGUCUCUAUGGGGUCUCUAUGGGUCUCUAUGGGGCACUGGGGUCUCUAUGGGGUCUCUAUGGGGUCUCUAUGGGGCACUGGGGUCUCUAUGGGACAUUGGGGUCCCUAUGGGGUCUCUAUGGGUCUCUAUGGGGCACUGGGAUCUCUAUGGGACAUUGGGGUCCCUAUGGGGUCUCUAUGUGGACACUGGGGUCUCUAUAGGGUCUCUAUGGGAGCAUUGGCCUUUCUAUGGGUUAAUGGGGUCUCUAUGGGGACAUUGGGGUCUCUAUGGGUCUCUAUGGGUCUCUAUGGGGCACUGGGGUCUCUAUGGGGUCUCUAUGGGGUGCUGGGGUCUCUAUGGGGUCUCUAUGGGAUGCUAGGGUCUCUAUAGGACAUUGGGGUCCCUNNAUGGGGUCUCUAUGGGGUGCUGGGGUCUCUAUGGGACAUUGGGGUCUCUAUGGGGUCUCUAUGGGGUGCUGGGGUCUCUAUGGGGUCUCUAUGGGUCUCUAUGGGGCACUGGGGUCCCUAUGGGGUCUCUAUGUGGACACUGGGGUCUCUAUGGGGUGCUGGGGUC